rnacentral:rRNA from 1 species
GGACAAUGGGCGCAMKNGANUCCAGCCAUACCGCGUGGGUGAAGAAGGCCUUCGGGUUGUAAAGCCCUUUUGUUGGGAAAGAAAUCCUGUCGAUUAAUACUCGGUGGGGAUGACGGUACCCAAAGAAUAAGCACCGGCUAACUUCGUGCCAGCAGCCGCGGUAAUACGAAGGGUGCAAGCGUUACUCGGAAUUACUGGGCGUAAAGCGUGCGUAGGUGGUGGUUUAAGUCUGCUGUGAAAGCCCUGGGCUCAACCUGGGAAUUGCAGUGGAUACUGGAUUACUAGAGUGUGGUAGAGGGAUGCGGAAUUUCUGGUGUAGCAGUGAAAUGCGUAGAGAUCAGAAGGAACAUCCGGGGCGAAGGCGGCAUCCUGGGCCAACACUGACACUGAGGCACGAAAGCGUGGGGAGCAAACAGGAUUAGAUACCCUGGUAGUCCACGCCCUAAACGAUGCGAACUGGAUGUUGGGUGCAACUUGGCACCCAGUAUCGAAGCUAACGCGUUAAGUUCGCCGCCUGGGGAGUACGGUCGCAAGACUGAAACUCAAAGGAAUUGACGGGGGCCGCACAAGCGGUGGAGUAUGUGGUUUAA